rnacentral:rRNA from 1 species
CUUAGAGGGACAGCGGCAGUNAGCCGGACGAGAUGGAGCAAUAACAGGUCUGUGAUGCCCUUAGAUGUCCGGGGCGCACGCGCGCUACAAUGAAGGCAUCAGCGAGUCUUUCGCCUUCGCCGAAAGGUGCGGGUAACCUGCUGAACCGCCUUCGUGCUAGGGAUCGGGGAUUGCAAUUAUCUCCCAUGAACGAGGAAUUCCCAGUAGAUGCGUG